AUCGAUACACACCUUUAUCGGGUUCGGGUUCUCAUACAGUCAUAUGUCCAUGUUACGGCGCUCGUUUACGGGAAGCAGAGUAGACAACCUGUGGCUCUUAGCGCUCUGCGUCUCCCAACACCGGUGUGUAGAUGGACGACAGAAGCUACAAAACCUUUCUCUGCUGCCUGUGACUGGAACGAAUUGCAGAAAUCGCUCAAGUUGGAGACAUUUAUCUCCCUCACCAACUUCAAACAACUGAUAUCUGAGCAGCUAACCGAUCGUUGCAGCUGUACAUAGUCUUAUCGGGGUGAUGGUCGGAUUCGCGCUCAUCGUCAAAGGAAUGAGCGUUAUGCUGAGGCCUGUACUCUGGAGCGG